rnacentral:rRNA from 1 species
GAUGAACGCUGGCGGCGUGCCUAAUACAUGCAAGUCGAGCGAACAGACGAGGAGCUUGCUCCUCUGACGUUAGCGGCGGACGGGUGAGUAACACGCGGAUAACCUACCUAUAAGACUGGGAUAACUUCGGGAAACCGGAGCUAAUACCGGAUAAUAUUUUGAACCGCAUGGUUCAAUAGUGAAAGACGGUUUUGCUGUCACUUAUAGAUGGAUCCGCGCCGCAUUAGCUAGUUGGUAAGGUAACGGCUUACCAAGGCAACGAUGCGUAGCCGACCUGAGAGGGUGAUCGGCCACACUGGAACUGAGACACGGUCCAGACUCCUACGGGAGGCAGCAGUAGGGAAUCUUCCGCAAUGGGCGAAAGCCUGACGGAGCAACGCCGCGUGAGUGAUGAAGGUCUUCGGAUCGUAAAACUCUGUUAUUAGGGAAGAACAAAUGUGUAAGUAACUAUGCACGUCUUGACGGUACCUAAUCAGAAAGCCACGGCUAACUACGUG